AUUGAACGCUGGCGGCAGGCCUAACACAUGCAAGUCGAGCGAGCGGCGGACGGGUGAGUAAUGUCUGGGAAACUGCCUGAUGGAGGGGGAUAACUACUGGAAACGGUAGCUAAUACCGCAUACCAUCAGAUGUGCCCAGAUGGGAUUAGCUAGUAGGUGGGGUAACGGCUCACCUAGGCGACGAUCCCUAGCUGGUCUGAGAGGAUGACCAGCCAAACUGGGACUGGGGCACGGGCCAGACUCCUAAGGGAGGGAACAGUGGGGGAUAUUUCACCAAGGGAGCAAGCCUGAUGCAGCCAUGGCGCGUGUAUGGAGAAGGCCUUUGGGUUUGUAAGGACUUGCAGCGGGGGAGCGUUGCCCGCAGAAGAAGCACCGGCGAACUCCGUGUCAGCAGCCGCGGUAAUAC
rnacentral:rRNA from 1 species